UACGUAGGGGGCAAGCGUUGUCCGGAAUCAUUGGGCGUAAAGAGCGCGUAGGCGGCCCUGUAAGUCCGCUGUGAAAGUCAAGGGCUCAACCCUUGGAUGCCGGUGGAUACUGCAGGGCUAGAGUCCGGAAGAGGCGAGUGGAAUUCCUGGUGUAGCGGUGAAAUGCGCAGAUAUCAGGAGGAACACCGGUGGCGAAGGCGGCUUGCUGGGCCGGUUCUGACGCUGAGGAGCGAGAGCGUGGGGAGCGAACAGG
rnacentral:rRNA from 1 species